rfam:Oryza barthii chromosome 1, whole genome shotgun sequence.
AAUAAAUGCAGCCAUGAGUUUCCGCGCCCAACUUUAAUUGUCUGUCUUAUUUGAAAUUUUUUUAUAAUUAGCAUUUUUCUUGAUAUAAGAUGAUAAAAUAUGAAUAGUACUUUACUAGUGACUUAUGUUUUUAUUUUUUUUAAAAAAAAUUUUAAAUUAGACGAAUGGUCAAAAUUAGACACGAAAAACCAUGUCUGCACUUAUU